rnacentral:lncRNA from 1 species
CGCCUUCCCCCCCCCCCACGCACGCAAGUCGCGAUCCUAAAGGCAGCUGUUCUCGCCCUCUGGCGGCCGAUCCGGGGACAGCAGCUGGAAGAGCCGCCGAAGGAGGCGGUUUUUUGCGCAAGGAAAGAAGAAGCGCCGCGUCUCCUCCCGAAGGUCCGCCCAAGGCCGGGAGGUUCCCCGAUCCUCCUCCUCCUCCUCCCUGGCCGCGCGGGUGCCUUGGGAAGCCGGGAAAGAGGAGGAGCCGAUCCCGCGGGGUGGAAAGCGCGCAACGAGGGGAGCGGAAGGCUUGCAAAACCCCUGCGGAGGAGGCGGAGGAGGGCGAGCAGGCAGGGCAGGAUCGGGCCCGGGAGCGGGAGGGUUGCGUGGGUUGCGCCUCGCGGGGCUGAUGUUGCAACUUGCGUGAGCUUGCGGGAAGAAGGCAAGUGUGGACACACACACACACACACACACACACACACGCACAGUGAGCUUAGGCGCAAGGGGCGCAGGAUCGGUGCAAAGGCGCCCGCUGCUUCGGAUCGGGCCAAAAAAAAGAAAAAAGUAAC